GCCUGGGUGGCUCAGUCAGUGGAGCAUCUGACUUCAGCUCAGGUCAUGAUCUCACAGUUUGUAAGUUCAAGCCCUGCAUCAGGCU
rnacentral:tRNA from 1 species